GGCACUGGGGCUUUGUAUUAAAUUUUUAAUAGCCAUGGUGGGUUUGAUCCCACACUCCUGGGAGAAUUAGUCACUGCAGGUUCGAGUGAGGAAUUUAUGGACAGGCCUCAACAAUCUGCUUCUAAUUUGAGGAUGGAAACUUUGAUUUUAAGAAUCCUGAAAGGCAAUAUGGUAUCAAGAAGAAGGCCUCGGUUCCCGUCAUUCAACAAAUUGCAAUGGACCUAUUUCUGGGCCUGCCCUCCUCCCAGGGUACUGUGAAGCUCUAAGAAGACAAUGGAGGAUCCCUUGCACUGACAGUAGCCAUGGGACCCAAUUCUAGACCAUGAAACAAAGAGAAAUCUUUCGGGAAAGGAAACCUAGCCAGCAUCCCUCUGUCUCCUUCUUCCUGCCUUGAAAGAGGAUGUGAUGACUUGACCUGCAGCAGACGAUUGUGACCAUGAGGCAGAGGCC